rnacentral:rRNA from 1 species
CCCUUAGAUGCUCUGGGCCGCACGCGCGCUACACUGUUCGACGCAGCGAGUCUUAACCUUGACCGAAAGGUUUGGGUAAUCUUCAGCAAAGUCGAACGUGAUGGGGAUCGAUCAUUGCAAUUAUUGAUCGUGAACGAGGAAUUCCUAGUAAGUGCAAGUCAUCAGCUUGCGCUGAUUACGUCCCUGCCCUUUGUACACACCGCCCGUCGCUACUACCGAUUGAAUGGUUUAGUGAGAUCUCUGGAUUGACGCUGGCUAGGGGGCGACCCUUGGCCAGACUGUUGAGAAACUGCUCAAACUUGAUCAUUUAGAGGAAGUAAAAGUCGUAACA